rnacentral:rRNA from 1 species
UGGGGAAUAUUGGGCAAUGGGCGCAAGCCUGACCCAGCAAUGCCGCGUGUGUGAAGAAGGCCUGCGGGUUGUAAAGCACUUUGAGCGGGGAGGAAGGCUCCGGGGCGAAUAACCCCGGGGAUUGACGUUACCCGCAGAACAAGCACCGGCUAACUCCGUGCCAGCAGCCGCGGUAAUACGGAGGGUGCGAGCGUUAAUCGGAAUUACUGGGCGUAAAGCGCGCGUAGGCGGUCCGGUAAGUCUGGCGUGAAAGCCCCGGGCUCAACCUGGGAACUGCGUCGGAUACUGCCGGGCUAGAGUGCUGGAGAGGGGUGUGGAAUUUCCGGUGUAGCAGUGAAAUGCGUAGAGAUCGGAAGGAACACCAGUGGCGAAGGCGGCACCCUGGACAGACACUGACGCU